GUGAACCUGCGGAGGGAUCAUUACUGA
rnacentral:rRNA from 1 species